AUUGAACGCUGGCGGCAUGCCUAACACAUGCAAGUCGAGCGAGCGGCGGACGGGUGAGUAAUGUAUGGGGACUGCCCGAUAGAGGGGGAUAACUACUGGAAACGGUGGCUAAUCCCGCAUACUAUCGGAUAACCCAUAUGGGAUUAGCUAGUAGGUGGGGUAAAGGCUCACCUAGGCGACGAUCUCUAGCUGGUCUGAGAGGAUGAUCAGCCACACUGGGACUGAGACACGGCCCAGACUCCUACGGAGGCAGCAGUAGGGAAUCUUCCACAAUGGGCGCAAGCCUGAUGGAGCAAUGCCGCGUGUGUGAAGAAGGCCUUAGGGUUGUAAAGUUCUUUCAGCGGGGAAGCGUUACCCAAAGAGGAAGCACCGGCUAACUACGUGCCAGCAGCCGCGGUAAUAC
rnacentral:rRNA from 1 species